UGCACAUGGGGGCGCCGAUCUCCCAUUUACCCGGCUAACAGAAACAGAAUCAGGAUCCAUAUAACAGAAUCAGAAUAUAACAGAAAUCAGAAUCAGGAUCCGUAUAACAGAAACAGUCUCACAAACCCAUGGUGACCCACUUCAUCCCAAUUCCACACAAGCAAAGCACAGCAAUAUCACAACACAACUAAUCAAACAUUGCAAUCGAAUGCAAACAUAUUAAUCAAUUAGACAUCCAACAUCAAAUGCAAAUAAAUAAGUAAAUAGUGUUAACAAUAAACAAUAAUAAUAAAAUAAAUAAUAAUAAUGAUAAACAAUAACUAUGAAAAUAAAUAAAUAAAUACUGGAAUACUUAAAUGAAUAAUAAUGAAAAUAAACAAAUAAUUACAGUACUUUAUAUUUAUUAUGUAUCAAAUUAUAGAAUUUAUUUAAAUAAAUUUAUUAAUUAUAUUGUUAAUUAAAACUAAUCUAAGUUCUAUCGAAAUUUCGGCAGCAUCUCCCCUAAAAAUGGGAUUAUCUACCUGCUUAAAUAUCAGCAAUAUUACAUCCAUCAACCAUUACACACACAGCCCAUCCAUCGAGCAAUUAAACAAAUUAAUUUCCCUUCCUCCGUCCAAAAUAAUCACAUCAAUAUUUAAUCGUUAAUGUCAAGCUUCAACUUAUUAUAUAACAUUAAGUAAAUAAAUAAAUAAGCAAAUAAAUGAAAAAUAGCUAUUUGCUUAACCUCCACACAUUACUAGUUAAACAAUUUAAUAUAGACCCUUAACAAUCAUAUAAAACUAUAGCUUAUGUAUUCAAUAAUCA
rnacentral:lncRNA from 1 species